GGAGGGUGCAAGCAUUAAUCGGAAUUAUUGGGCGUAAAGAGCGCGUAGGUAGUAUAGCAAGUCAGAGAUGAAAAAUCGAGACUCAAUCUCGAUCCUGUCUUUGAAACUGUUAAACUAGAGGAAAUUCGGGGGAAAUAGAAUUUCACAUGUAGCGGUGAAAUGCGUAGAUAUGUGAAGGAAUACCGGUGGCGAAAGCGGUUUUCCAGGAUUUUCCUAACGCUGAGGCGCGAAAGCAAGGGUAGCAAACAGGGAUUAGAUACCCUGGUAGUCCUUGCCGUAAACGAUGUAUACUUGAUGUAUAGGGUCUCAACCCCCCCCCUGUGUGUCGAAGCUAACGUGAUAAGUAUACCGCCUGAGGAGUACACUCGCAAGUGUG
rnacentral:rRNA from 1 species